UAACUGACAUUGAUAGUAUGGAGUAAUCUGUACUAUUACUUGAACUAGUUAAAUUAACUCUAUAAAUAAAUAAAAAGGUUGAUAAAAUCUUUAAAUUUUCAACGAUGGAUGUCUUGGCUCCCAUAUCGAUGAAGAACGCAGCUAGAAUGCGAUAUGCAAUGUGAAUUGCAGAACCACGAAUCAUCGGAUCUUUGAACGCAACUGGCGCUGAUAAACUCAGCAUACUUGUUUCAGUGUGCUCAAACAAAUUAAUAAUAAAAAUGUAAGAGAUUAUCUCUUAUUAAAUAUAUGCUCUUAGCAGCAAUCACAUUUUUUUGUGAUCUGUCUAAGUAGAUUAAUGACUUAUUCGCACCUGAAAUCAAGUAAGAUGACCCGCUGGACUUAAGCAUAUUACUAAGCGGAGGAAAAGAAAUUAACUAAGAUUGCCUUAGUAAGGGCGACUGAACCGGCAAGAGCUCAAAAUUGGAAUCGAAUAUUCAACGAAUAUUCGAAUUGUAAUCAGGUCCGCCUAAAUACGAGUAUUUGCUCAAGCUCGUCGAAUCGAGCGCCAUAGAGGGUGAAAGCCCCGUGUAGCGUUUACUCGAGUAAGGGGGAUUCCAUAAGAGUCGGGUUGCUUGGAACUGCAGCCCUAAGCGGGAGAUAUGAAUCUUCCAAAGCUAAAUAUGGAUGGGAGACCGAUAGCGAACAAGUACUGUGAAGGAAAGAUGAAAAGGACUUUGAAAAGAGAGUGAAAAGAUCUGAAAUCGUUGAGAAGGAAGCGGUAAAAACUGAUGGUCGUACUGAUAGGAUUAUGGGAUGAACCAUCCCAGAGUUCUUACCAAAGCGACGGGCAAAAUCAAGUUAAAUGCGUCAAAAA
rnacentral:rRNA from 1 species